UGGGGAAUUUUACACAAUGGGGGAAACCCUGAUGUAGCGACACCGCGUGAGCGAAGAAGCCCUUUGGGGUGUAAAGCUCUGUCAGCAGGGACGAAAAAAAUGACGGUACCUGCAGAGGAAGCAUCGGCUAACUACGUGCCAGCAGCCGCGGUAAGACGUAGGAUGCGAGCGUUGUCCGGAUUUAUUGGGCGUAAAGAGUUCGUAGGCGGUUCAUUAAGUUUGGUGUAAAAGACGGGGGCUCAACUCUCGGAUCGCACUGAAUACUGAUGGACUCGAGUGGAGUAGAGGCAAGCGGAAUUCCCAGUGUAGCGGUGAAAUGCGUAGAUAUUGGGAAGAACACCGGUGGCGCAAGCGGCUUGCUGGGCUUUAACUGACGCUGAGGAACGAAAGCUAGGGUAGCGAAUGGGAUUAGAUACCCGCGUAGUCC
rnacentral:rRNA from 1 species